rnacentral:tRNA from 1 species
UCCCUGGUGGUCCAGUGGCUAAGACUCCGUAUUCCCAAUGCAGGUGGCCUGGGUUCAGUCCCUGGUCAGGGAA